UGGGGAAUUUUCCGCAAUGGGCGAAAGCCUGACGGAGCAAUACCGCGUGAGGGAAGACUGCCUAUGGGUUGUAAACCUCUUUUUUCAGGGAGGAAUAAAUGACGUGUACCUGAAGAAUAAGCAUCGGCUAACUCCGUGCCAGCAGCCGCGGUAAGACGGAGGAUGCAAGUGUUAUCCGGAAUCACUGGGCGUAAAGCGUCUGUAGGUGGUUUAAUAAGUCAACUGUUAAAUCUUGAGGCUCAACUUCAAAAUCGCAGUCGAAACUAUUAGACUAGAGUAUAGUAGAGGUAAAGGGAAUUUCCAGUGGAGCGGUGAAAUGCGUAGAUAUUGGAAAGAACACCGAUGGCGAAAGCACUUUACUGGGCUAUUACUAACACUCAGAGACGAAAGCUAGGGUAGCAAAUGGGAUUAGAUACCCGUAGU
rnacentral:rRNA from 1 species